GAUUUCUGGCACGAUGCGCCUGGCCCGCCACGGUUUCGUGUGUGAGUGCCGGGUCGGAUCUGCCAUCCUUCCAGAGAACGGUCCUACCCUUCAUUGGGCCGGGGCCGCAAUCUGGAUCGUUUACUUUGAAAAAAUUAGAGUGUUUAAAGCAGGCUUUUGCUAUGAAUACAUUAGCAUGGAAUAAUAAUCUAGGACUUCGGUUCUAUUUUGUUGGUUUCUAUAACUGAAGUAAUGAUUGAUAGGGAUAGUUGGGGGUGCUAGUAUUCAGCGGCCAGAGGUGAAAUUCUCGGAUUCGCUGAAGACUAACUUAUGCGAAAGCAUU
rnacentral:rRNA from 1 species